AUUCAAGUUGUGCUUAAUUCUUGUAUGAGAAGCCAACAUAUUUAUUUUGUUAUAACUUCUUGACUUUAAUUUCAUCAGGUGAUGAUAGAUACAAGUUCAUCCAUGGCAGAGAAGUGCUAUGGAGGUGUGGACAUACAGAAAAUCCAUGCUGUUCAAGAGCUUUUUGACAACUUUGCAACACGGACCAUGGCGUAUGACUUUCAUCAUGUCAUUGGCCUUGUGAAGUUUGACUCUACAGUGGAAACUCUCCACACAUUGACGGAAUCACUUGAGAAGUUCAAGGAAGAAGUCCGCACCCUUAAGGCAAGCGGACAAACUAAGCUGUACGAUGCCCUGCAACAUGGAAUUUUUGAGUUGGACAAAGCAAAGAAGUUUAUAGACUGUAAACUUCGGAUUCUUUGCCUCACCGAUGGAAAUGAUGUUGGAUCUUUAAACAAGCCUGAUGUUGUUGCUGCCAACCUGAUAAAAUCCAACAUCAUUGUGGAUUCAAUUCUUCUUGGAAAAGUGGAGAACAAUAUUCUCUGUGGAAUCAGCAAUGCAACAGGGGGUUGCUGUUUCAAACCAGAGACGAGCAAAGAUGGUCUGAAGCUUUUUGAGAUCGAGACUGUUCUCUCUUUGGAGUGGAGGAAACCCAAGAACAAAGCUGACCCAUCUUCCAUCACUACAGUGAGUGCACCAAUGGAGUGCUCUGAGAAUUAA
rnacentral:lncRNA from 1 species